rnacentral:rRNA from 1 species
UACGGAGGGGGCUAGCGUUGUCCGAAGUUACUGGGCGUAAAGCGCGCGUAGGCGGGUUGGUAAGUCCGCUGUGAAAGCCCGGAGCUCAACUCCGGAGGGUCGGUGGAUACUGCCAGUCUUGAAGGUGCUAGGGGGAGAUGGAAUUACCGGUGUAGCGGUGAAAUGCGUAGAUAUCGGUAGGAACACCAGUGGCGAAGGCGGUCUCCUGGGGCAUUCUUGACGCUGAGGCGCGGAAAGCUGGGGGGAGCGAACAGGG